AACGUAGGUGGCAAGCGUUAUCCGGAUUUACUGGGCGUAAAGGGUGUGCAGGCGGGACUGCAAGUGGGGUAUGAAAUCUCCCAGCUUAACUGGGAUAGGUUAUGCCAGACUGCAGUUCUAGAGGACGAGAGAGGGGGGUGGAAUUCCGGGUGUAGUGGUGAAAUGCGUAGAGAUCCGGAGGAACCCCAGAGGCGAAGGCGGCCCCCUGGCUCGUAUCUGACGCUCAGCCACGAAAGCAUGGGGAGCGAACGGG
rnacentral:rRNA from 1 species